CGGGGGACCACCCGAAGGGAGGGCUGGCAGAUGGGGUGGCGACAGGGGGAAUGAGCUCCGCAUUUCCUGAGACGCAAAGUAGCAAAAUCAGGUUUUAAAUUAUUGGCAGUCCCAUUGAAGCCCCCCAAACACACCAAAUAUUUAAAGUCACGGCCGAUACCACGUAGGAUUCAAAACUGCAGAGGGAGAGCUCGUUUGGAGAGAAAAUUACAUAUAUGAAUGGAAACAAACAAAAUACAAAUGGAAGCAAACCAACUUUCCUAGCAGUGGCUUUGGGUGUAACGGUGUUAUUAUGGUUCACUGCCAAAUGGACUCUCAGGCCCAAGACCUAGACACACAGUAAUCUCCCUAGUCCAGGGGCGCAGGAUAUGCCUAGAAAUUGAUGCCAUAUUUGAGUUUUAAGAAAUGUAUUCAGUACUUCAUGCAUGAAAGAAACCUGUCAUCCCUGAACUCACUUAAGUGACAGUUGAAUGAAUUCCUGGCAAGUCCCAUUCCAGAUGAGGUCUCAGAGGACAUUAAAAAAAGACAUCAAAAACAGUGAACUCUGUGCAGAGAGGGCCCAAAUGACGCUUUGGAACAGGAACUGACAACAUCAUUGUGUACAACGUGCCAGGAACAGCACAAAGCAUGGGGCUCUGCACUCAUGACCCCUUUACCAUAUGUCCCCAAAGCACCACCAUCAAUUCUUUGGAUGGCAAAACUGACUAUAUUACAAUGCCGACGUGAACCUAGGGAGUUAAAUGUAAGAAAACCAAAGACACCAGGAAAAAUACUGCUCUGCCAAUGCCAGCAGUGUUUACAUAGGCAUCAAUGGUGAUACAACAUCUUCUGGAAGGAUCCAACGCAGAAAGAUAAGGGAGAAGAGGGAAGGGAAAACAGGAAAGGAAGAACAGAGACAGAAGAUAAGCAAGAAAAGGAGGGAAACAUUUCAGGGAAAACAUUCCGGAGGGAGGGAGAGAGCCCAGGCACAGGAGCACAUAAGCUCAAUGAACAUUUGCUGAACCAACAGAGCAGACAGGAUGGACCUGUAGUCAGGGCGUUAUGACCAUCCUUUGUGAGGACUUAAAAAUAAAUGGUGCUAAAGCUGUACCAGAAAUGCGACCCCCUCACAGAAGUGGAUAAGCACUUUCUCAGAUCUGUUUGUUUUCAAGGAACAAUAUGGAAAGGUAUGUGAUUAAAAAGGCACAUUCUCUAUACCCUACUUCCCACUCCACCUUCUCAGGAGGUGUCCCGAUUAUGUCCCCUCAAAAAUCUGCAAGCAUGCAUCAUUUACCCCUUGGGACACAACAGUGUCAAUAAAGAAUGUCUUGCAA